AUGGGAUUCCAGACAGGAAACAAUCAGGGCCAGCUAAUACCUCCCAACAAAGGAUUCCCCCAGGUAGGAAGCAGCCAGGCUUUGAAGCUGCAAGGCUAUUCAAUGCUAAUCAAGGUGACCAAUUGCAACAUUCGCACCCUCCCUCCCCCCAAUACAGGUCUCCAGUCCAUACUACGCUACAUGAACUUGAAUGGAUACUGUGGUUGUGUUGUCGAAAGCUUUCAUGGCCGGGAUCACACUGUUGUGGUAUGUAUUCCGGGCUCUAUGGCCAUGUGCCAGAAGCAUUCUCUCCUGACGUUUCACCCACAUCUGUGGCAGACAUAGAGGUUUUGACGUCUGUGCGAAGCUAGGCAAGUGGGGUUUAUAUAUCUGUGGAAGGUCCAGGGUGGGAGAAAGAACUCUUGUCUGUGGGAGGCAAGUGUGAAUGUUGCAAUUGGUCACCUUGAUUAGCAUUGAAUAGCCUUGCAGCUUCAAAGCCUGGCUGCUUCCUACCUGGGGGAAUCCUUUGUUGGGAGGUAUUAGCUGGCCCUGAUUGUUUCCUGUCUGGAAUUCCCAUUUUCUGGGUGUUUCUGGGAAGGUAAUGGCACUCCAUGUAGUCAUGCCGGCCACAUGACCUUGGAGGUGUCUAUGGACAACACUGGCUCUUGGGCUUAGAAAUGGAGAUGAGCACCAACCCCCAGAGUCAGACAUGACUGAACUUAACGUCAAGGGAAACCUUUACCUUUACCUAUACACACACACACACACACACACACACACACAAGCAGGGACUAUAUAUAUAUAUAUACACAAUAUAUAUCACACACACACCAAUUUAACAAAGUUUCAGCCACAAAAACAAAGUUUCUGAAGUAGAACAAUGACUUUCACAGUAAAGACAACCCAAUUUAACAGGAAAUAAGACUUUCAAACCAGGAACAGAUUACUGCAAUUAUUAAAAAAAGGUUUAUUAUAAAAUCUAUGAAAAUUUGCCAAAAAUCAGAGGAUAAGGGAAACGUUCCACAUUUUGGUGAGCUAUCAGUGUUAAAUGUGUUCUACCACUGUACCAAGUUUGAAGAAGAUCACUCAAAAAAUGAGGGCGGGAGAGCCCCCUAAGUCCCCCCCCUUCGGGCUGUUUUUGGGCCACCGCGCAUGCGCGUCCGCCAUUAACGAAUUAAUUUAGAAAAUAACGAAUUUUCGUUAAUUUCUAAAAAUUUUGGGGGCCAAAUUCGUUAUUAGCAACAAAAACGAAAAAACUGCCCCCUCUAGUAUUGAAACGAGUUUAGAAUCAAAUUUUUCAUGGAUCGAUCAAGCCUACUGAGUACACUGCUCUCUUUACCAACAGUACUCAGUCAGCACUGAAAAACUUGUCCAAACUGGUUCUGCAGCAGCAGAACAGAAACAGUAUCAAAUCAAUCCCCAGGUCAUUGCAGGCUCAGCAAAUUGGCUUCAUGCACUUCAUUUUCCAGUUAACACACACAUAACACAGUGCAUUUGCAAACCAUGACACUAAAGACAUUUCAAAACUGCAAUUCUCAUGACUCCAUAGCAUUGGGCUUUGAGAGUUAGAGUGGUGUAAAAUUGCAUUCAUUGACCAUGUAGAUGCAUCUUGAGACUUCCAAUCCCAUAUAUCAGAAACUUAGAUUUCACUCUGACAACAAUGAGACUACAAUACAGCUGUAUCAACCUUCUGUCUCCUAAGUCUCACAAUUUCACAAGUGCUGUUGAUUGAUGAAUGUUUUCUCAGUGGUAUUUAAUUCUGAGAGCUAUUUUGUCCAUGUUAGACCAUCACUGGGACUCAAGGAAAUCGCUGAGCAACAAAGGUAGCAUUUUAAAUAUGGCUUUUAAAUGCAUAUUGCACUGUUGGGUCUCAGGAACCACUUGCCUGUUCAUAUCAAUGAGUCCCAACUUGCCUAACAAACAACUAUUGUACUUGGAUCC
rnacentral:lncRNA from 1 species